rnacentral:rRNA from 1 species
UACGUAGGGUGCGAGCGUUGUCCGGAAUUAUUGGGCGUAAAGAGCUCGUAGGCGGUGUGUCGCGUCGGCCGUGAAAACCUGCAGCUUAGCUGUGGGCUUGCGGUCGAUACGGGCAUCACUGGAGUUCGGCAGGGGAGACUGGAAUUCCUGGUGUAGCGGUGAAAUGCGCAGAUAUCAGGAGGAACACCGAUGGCGAAGGCAGGUCUCUGGGCAUUAACUGACGCUGAGGAGCGAAAGCAUGGGGAGCGAACAGG